ensembl:lncRNA
CACAAAAUAAAUCAUGUUAAACACUAUUAUUGCACACAGAGUGAGUCCGUGCACCUUAUUAUGUGACUUGUUGAGCACAUUUUUACUCCUGAAAUUAUUUUGGGCUUUACCAUAACAAAGGAGUUAAAUACCUAUUGACUCAAAACAUUUCAGCUUUUCAUUUUUAAUUCAUUGGUAAACAUUUGUAAAACCAUAAUUUCAUUCUGACGUGAUGGGGGUGUUGUGUGAAGGCCGGUUACACACAAUCUCAAUGUAAUAUUUGUUAUUGGAUUUAUAAUAGAAGUAGUAGAUGUUGCAUUAGUCAUAUUUAAAAAUAAAACGUGUGAAACUCAGUGGUUGCUAUGGAUUUAAUACUAAAGGAAAUGAUCAAACAAGUAAAAACUGUAGCAUUAAACUGGGUUUUAUUCUCAAAUUAGCAGUGUUCUGAUCACUCUAAGGUACUAUAGUAACUCUGAAACCGUUUUCAGACAAAACAUGACAAAUGCUCGGGCAUCUCGUAAAACCCGGCCUUGGUGAUGGCUGUCAAUCAACACUUGUUCUGUCUGUGUCUGUGCGCGCUCCUGUCCAGUCCUGUGGGAGUUGCUGGGGUACUUUGGGAUAUCCCCUUCCUGCUACUUUAUUACCCCGCUCCGAAGACAGCUAUGCGAGGAGGGCAGGCGCAUGGGCUAAACACUGGGCGAAACUCUCCCAACUCACUCUCUCUGAACGCGAACAUCGACUCGAGGACUGUGGAAGUUGUCAGGCUAUCCGCUCUCUGCCGCUCACUUCAACUAUACCGCUACCGGACGCCCCCGUGCGAGACUUCACCUCUGCCUGUCACACGGCUCCCGCCGCCGGGGACUGGAAUUUACAGGAGGCUGGGGCUUUAUUAAAGGAACGCAUACUUGAAGGGGAACAAUACAUAUCUGGAUAUCCUCAGGCUCUGACGGUGUUGCUACUGAGAAACGUUCUCUUCUUGAGUAUGACUGGUGUUCGUUCGUAAGCAGGCUGGAGUAGGCUACUAAAAGUGGAGUCAUCAUAUACCGUAGUUCAUAUUUUCUUUUGUUUCACGCGCUCUGUCCGGAGCAGCGUCUGUCAUCUCCCGAACUGGAUUACUUCGCAUGUGUUUAUUUUGCGGGAAAUUGAGACGCUGCGUAAUCGUUUGGAGACGGAGCAACUAAUCGCGAAAUAAUUUGUAUUGUACACCUGUUUCUUAUUGCUCUGCUAGCUAUGUCAUCGGAGCAAACAACUGUCUCCACCGCCGUGAACAGAGGAGCUAAGAACCAUAUCCGAGACCGAGGAGCGAACCGAGCGGGUUCUUUUGGAACGGACCGAAAAACUUUUCUGUGGAACUUGUUGUGAAAUGAGUCAACGACAAAAAGGAACUCCCGUGCCAAGUGUAAUUUAACGGAGGUGGAAUUUGUCUUAUUUUCUCGGGAGGAAACUCAUACUUGUAUAAUCGGUCGUUCAUAAAGUUGUUCUCUCAACGAAGAGACUUCGUUCUAGAACUGGAACUCUGGAGAAAGUUUUGGAACUGGAACUCUGGAGAACGUUUUGGAACGCCGAACGCUCAGGGGGAAACGGUCGCGCAACUAAACGAUACAAAAAAAACAAGCUGACCAGGACCGACCAGACCAGACCAGACCAGACCGGACCAGACCAGACCAGACACAGACAGGACCAGACAGG